CCUACGGGAGGCAGCAGUGAGGAAUAUUGGUCAAUGGGCGCAAGCCUGAACCAGCCAAGUAGCGUGAAGGAUGACUGCCCUACGGGUUGUAAACUUCUUUUGUAAAGGAAUAAAGUGAGGCACGUGUGCCUUUUUGUAGGUACUUUAUGAAUAAGGAUCGGCUAACUCCGUGCCAGCAGCCGCGGUAAUACGGAGGAUCCGAGCGUUAUCCGGAUUUAUUGGGUUUAAAGGGAGCGUAGGUGGGUUGUUAAGUCAGUUGUGAAAGUUUGGGGCUCAACCGUAAAAUUGCAAUUGAUACUGGCAGCCUUGAGUACAGUUGAGGUAGGCGGAAUGCGUGGUGUAGCGGUGAAAUGCUUAGAUAUCACGAAGAACUCCGAUUGCGAAGGCAGCUUACUAAACUGCCACUGACAUUGAGGCUCGAAAGUGUGGGUAUCAAACAGGAUUAGAUACCCCGGUAGUC
rnacentral:rRNA from 1 species